UACGAAGGGUGCAAACGUUGCUCGGAAUCAUUGGGCGUAAAGCGCACGUAGGCGGCCUCAUAAGUCGGAUGUGAAAUCCCUCGGCUCAACCGAGGACGUGCAUCCGAAACUGUGAAGCUCGAGUAUGGAAGAGGGUCGCGGAAUUCCCGGUGUAGAGGUGAAAUUCGUAGAUAUCGGGAGGAACACCAGUGGCGAAGGCGGCGACCUGGGCCAAUACUGACGCUGAGGAGCGAAAGCGUGGGGAGCAAACAGG
rnacentral:rRNA from 1 species